GCGGGGCUGCCCGGUUCGUCAGGCACGCACACUCCCGGGGGCUAUACGUCUGUAGAAGGGAGCUGUCCCUGUCGGGAUCCUGGUCCCGGCACACGGCGCCCACGUUGUUGCCGCGGCCCAUGUGGAGGUCGCAUCGCCAACGGCCAGGGUGGCUCCGCA
rnacentral:other from 1 species